rnacentral:lncRNA from 1 species
GUGGAAUGACACAGCGUUUGUAGGGACCUCAGGCGGGUGGAAUGACACAGUGUUUGUAGGGACCUCAGGCAGGUGGAAUGACAUAGUGUUUGUAGGGACCUCAGGCAGGCGGAAUGACACAGUGUAGGGACCUCAGGCGGGUGGAAUGACACAGUGUAGGGACCUCACGCAGGUGGAAUGACACAGUGUUUGUAGGGACCUCAGUCGGGUGGAAUGACAGUGUUUGUAGGGACCUCAGGCGGGUGGAAUGACAGUGUUUGUAGGGACCUCACGCAGGUGGAAUGACACAACGUUUGUAGGGACCUCAGGCGGGUGGAAUGACACAGCGUUUGUAGGGACCUCAGGUGGGUGGAAUGACACAGUGUAGGGACCUCAGGUGGGUGGAAUGACACAGUGUAGGGACCUCACGUGGGUGGAAUGACACAGUGUAGGGACCUCAGGCGGGUGGAAUGACACAGUGUUUGUAGGGACCUCACACGGGUGGAAUGACACAGUGUUUGCAGGGACCUCACGUGGGUGGAAUGACACAGUGUAGGGACCUCAGGCGGGUGGAAUGACACAGUGUAGGGACCUCAGUCGGGUGGAAUGACAGUGUUUGUAGGGACCUCAGUCGGGUGGAAUGACAGUGUUUGUAGGGACCUCAGGCGGGUGGAAUGACAGUGUUUGUAGGGACCUCACACGGAUGGAAUGACACAGUGUUUGUAGGGACCUCAGGCGGGUGGAAUGACACAGUGUUUGUAGGGACCUCAGGCGGGUGGAAUGACAGUGUUUGUAGGGACCUCACGUGGGUGGAAUGACACAGUGUAGGGACCUCAGGCGGGUGGAAUGACACAGUGUAGGGACCUCAUGUGGGUGGAAUGACAGUGUAGGGACCUCAGGCGGGUGGAAUGACACAGUGUAGGGACCUCACGUGGGUGGAAUGACACAGUAUAGGGACCUCAGGCGGGUGGAAUGACACAGUGUAGGGACCUCACGUGGGUGGAAUGACACAGUGUAGGGACCUCAGGCGGGUGGAAUGACACAGUGUUUGUAGGGACCUCACACGGGUGGAAUGACACAGUGUUUGCAGGGACCUCACGUGGGUGGAAUGACACAGUGUAGGGACCUCAGGCGGGUGGAAUGACACAGUGUUUGUAGGGACCUCACACGGGUGGAAUGACACAGUGUUUGCAGGGACCUCACGUGGGUGGAAUGACACAGUGUAGGGACCUCAGGCGGGUGGGAUGACGCAGUGUAGGGACCUCAGGCGGGUGGAAUGACACAGUGUUUGUAGGGACCUCACACGGGUGGAAUGACACAGUGUUUGUAGGGUCCUCAGGCGGGUGGAAUGACACAGUGUUUGUAGGGACCUCAGUCGGGUGGGAUGACACAGUGUAGGGACCUCAGGCGGGUGGAAUGACACAGUGUUUGUAGGGAUCUCACACGGGUGGAAUGACAGUGUUUGUAGGGACCUCACGCGGGUGGAAUUACACAGUGUAGGGACCUCACGUGGGUGGAAUGACACAGUGUUUGUAGGGACCUGACGUGGGUGGAAUGACACAGUAUAGGGACCUCACGC